CAGUCGCCGCGGGAAUACGUAGGGUGCGGGCGUUAAUCGGAAUUACUGGGCGUAAAGCGUGCGCAGGCGGUUUUGUAAGACAGGCGUGAAAUCCCCGGGCUCAACCUGGGAAUGGCGCUUGUGACUGCAAAGCUAGAGUGCGGCAGAGGGGGAUGGAAUUCCGCGUGUAGCAGUGAAAUGCGUAGAUAUGCGGAGGAACACCGAUGGCGAAGGCAAUCCCCUGGGCCUGCACUGACGCUCAUGCACGAAAGCGCGGGGAGCGAACAGGAUUAGAGACCCGUGUAGUCCCUGUCUCUUAUAC
rnacentral:rRNA from 1 species